rnacentral:lncRNA from 1 species
ACUGGCCGAACAAGGAGAGAGGCAUAUGUGAUUUUCCAAGCGUUGCAGCUGGUUGUGGUGCCCGUGGUGUGUGCUGGAUGGGAUAUUAAUGCAUUCUCCUUUUCCAUCAUUCACUGCUUCCAGCGUUUCCCAGACUACUUGGAGACCCCGGACGGCUGUCUUUGAGGGGGAACUGCUGCAGAGACUAACGGGGAAUGCCAUGUGUCGCUGCGCGACAUAGGAGCUCUUUGUGGGGCUGUUUUGCACCGGGGACAGGUGGUGCCGCGUGUGUCAUGUGCAUGUGUGAGUGAGUGUAGGGACUAGCAGGGGGUACGGACACACAACCCCCGAGACAGUUGUUUUAGGGAUGUCAGGCCGGCGUACGGGAUCAGUUUUUUCCCAGAGACAGGUGCGACAGGGAGGAGUAGUUUACAAAGCUCCGCAGAGGAUCUGGUAACGCACUAACGAGCUCGCUCACUCCUCUGAUCACUCACGGAUUUUUUUUUUUUUUUUUUUUUUUUUUUUAAUUGUUUUAUUUUUCAUUUCUUCUUCAACAAAUCCAGCGGGACACACAGACUUGACUCUUACAGUUGCUGUCUCAGCGGCACCUUUCCCUCGGUAAUCAGAGACUACACUGUCGUGUUGCUAUGGCAGUUGUGGCCCGUCCCUCCUUCCUCCUGCUGUGCUUGGUGCUCCGAACGGCAAGCCCGGCAUUCCCAGAGGAACCAGGGCCCCUCAACUUCAUCCCCACCGAAGUGGUGAGACGAUAUCCAGUUUUUCUGGGCCGACCGCACAGAACAUGGCUGAGACAAGAGCCUCUGCACAUACAGAGGAUCCUCCAAGUCAACCGGACACUCUACAUCGGCGCCAGAGAUGACCUUUUCCGUGUGGAACUGGACAUCGUUGCAGGGGACGAGAUGUUUU